rnacentral:rRNA from 1 species
AUUGAACGCUGGCGGCAUGCUUUACACAUGCAAGUCGCACGGUAACAGGGUGCUUGCACCGCUGACGAGUGGCGAACGGGUGAGUAAUGCGUCGGAACGUGCCGAGUAGUGGGGGAUAACGCAGCGAAAGUUGUGCUAAUACCGCAUACGUACUGAGGUAGAAAGUGGGGGACCUUCGGGCCUCACGCUAUUCGAGCGGCCGACGUCUGAUUAGCUAGUAGGUGGGGUAAAGGCUCACCUAGGCGACGAUCAGUAGCGGGUCUGAGUGGACGAUCCGCCCCACUGGGACUGAGACACGGCCCAGCCUCCUACGGGAGGCAGCAGUGGGGAACUUUGGACAAUGGGCGAAAGCCUGAUCCAGCCAUGCCGCGUGUCUGAAGAAGGCCUUCGGGUUGUAAAGGCCUUUUGUCAGGGAGGAAAUCCCUAGUGCUAAUAACACUGGGGGAUGACAGUACCUGAAGAAUAAGCACCGGCUAACUACGUGCCAGCAGCCGCGUAA